rnacentral:tRNA from 1 species
GGAUAGGGUGGGAUGAUAGCCGACGGACUCGAAAUCCGUUGUACCUCUUGGGGUACCGUGGGUUCGAAUCCCACCCUCUCCGCCA